rnacentral:rRNA from 1 species
UGGGGAAUCUUGCGCAAUGGACGAAAGUCUGACGCAGCAACGCCGCGUGAGGGACGAAGGCUUUCUGAGUUGUAAACCUCUUUCGACAGGAACGAUUGUGACGGUACCUGUAGAAGAAGCACCGGCCAACUAUGUGCCAG